rnacentral:misc_RNA from 1 species
GUACUGUGCGUUGAAACGCGAUGAAAAUAAGGAAAGAGAUGGCCGGCGUAAAUCCCCGGAAACCCACCAAUAUCUUGUUAAAAAAUGUAAAUAACUCGACUCGACUGAACACUUUCCUUACAAAAAGCCUUCGUUCCUAUUCUUCUAUUGCAAUCUUUGCUACAAGGAAUCAUCCCCAAAUUUUACAUUAAUUGAUGUUGCAAGAAUUAAUUGUUCUUCUAGUUAGUCCUCUGAUAACCUAAGUGCUGCUGCAGUUUACUUAAGAGACCAAUAUUGUUGUAGCAAUUUAAUCACAUCG